rnacentral:rRNA from 1 species
UUCCGGAGCUAACGCGUUAAGUCGACCGCCUGGGGAGUACGGCCGCAAGGUUAAAACUCAAAUGAAUUGACGGGGGCCCGCACAAGCGGUGGAGCAUGUGGUUUAAUUCGAUGCAACGCGAAGAACCUUACCUGGUCUUGACAUCCACGGAAGUUUUCAGAGAUGAGAAUGUGCCUUCGGGAACCGUGAGACAGGUGCUGCAUGGCUGUCGUCAGCUCGUGUUGUGAAAUGUUGGGUUAAGUCCCGCAACGAGCGCAACCCUUAUCCUUUGUUGCCAGCGGUCCGGCCGGGAACUCAAAGGAGACUGCCAGUGAUAAACUGGAGGAAGGUGGGGAUGACGUCAAGUCAUCAUGGCCCUUACGACCAGGGCUACACACGUGCUACAAUGGCGCAUACAAAGAGAAGCGACCUCGCGAGAGCAAGCGGACCUCAUAAAGUGCGUCGUAGUCCGGAUUGGAGUCUGCAACUCGACUCCAUGAAGUCGGAAUCGCUAGUAAUCGUGGAUCAGAAUGCCACGGUGAAUACGUUCCCGGGCCUUGUACACACCGCCCGUCACACCA